rnacentral:rRNA from 1 species
CCCUUAGAUGUUCUGGGCCGCACGCGCGCUACACUGAUGCAUUCAACGAGUUUCUUCCUGGUCCGAGAGGAAUGGGUAACCUUUUGAAAGUGCAUCGUGAUAGGGAUAGACUAUUGCAAUUAUUGGUCUUCAACGAGGAAUUCCUAGUAGACGUAGUCCAUCAGACUGCAUCGAUUACGUCCCUGCCCUUUGUACACACCGCCCGUCGCUACUACCGAUUGAACGGUUUAGUGAGGGCCUCGGAUUGGUCUCGGCCCGCUCUUUACCGGGCGGCGCCGUUGGUCGAGAAGACGCUCGAACUUGAUCGUUUAGAGGAAGUAAAAGUCGUAACA